rnacentral:rRNA from 1 species
GAUGAACGCUGGCGGCGUGCCUAAUACAUGCAAGUCGAGCGAACAGACGAGGAGCUUGCUCCUCUGACGUUAGCGGCGGACGGGUGAGUAACACGUGGAUAACCUACCUAUAAGACUGGGAUAACUUCGGGAAACCGGAGCUAAUACCGGAUAAUAUAUUGAACCGCAUGGUUCAAUAGUGAAAGACGGUUUUGCUGUCACUUAUAGAUGGAUCCGCGCCGCAUUAGCUAGUUGGUAAGGUAACGGCUUACCAAGGCAACGAUGCGUAGCCGACCUGAGAGGGUGAUCGGCCACCCGGGAACUGAGACACGGUCCAGACUCCUACGGGAGGCAGCAGUAGGGAAUCUUCCGCAAUGGACGAAAGCCUAACGGAGCAACGCCGCGUGAGUGAUGAAGGUCUUCGGAUCGUAAAACUCUGUUAUUAGGGAAGAACAAAUGUGUAAGUAACUAUGCACGUCUUGACGGUACCUAAUCAGAAAGCCACGGCUAACUACGUG